UACGUAGGGGCUAGCGUUGUCCGGAUUUAUUGGGCGUAAAGAGCGUGUAGGCGGCCAGGUAGGUCUGCUGUGAAAACUCGAGGCUCAACCUCGAGACGUCGGCGGAAACCAUCUGGCUAGAGUCCGGAAGAGGAGAGUGGAAUUCCUGGUGUAGCGGUGAAAUGCGCAGAUAUCAGGAGGAACACCGGUGGCGAAGGCGGUUCUCUGGGCCUGUACUGACGCUGAGGAACGAAAGCGUGGGGAGCGAACAGG
rnacentral:rRNA from 1 species